AACGAACGCUGGCGGCGUGCCUAAUACAUGCGAGUCGAGCGGAAGUUGAAGAGCUUGCUCUUCAACUUUAGCGGCGGACGGGUGAGUAACACGUGGGCAACCUGCCCUGCAGAUCGGGAUAACUCCGGGAAACCGGUGCUAAUACCGAAUAGUUUUCGCCACCUCCUGGUGGCGUACGGAAAGACGGUUUCGGCUGUCACUGCAGGAUGGGCCCGCGGCGCAUUAGCUAGUUGGUGGGGUAACGGCCCACCAAGGCAACGAUGCGUAGCCGACCUGAGAGGGUGAUCGGCCACACUGGGACUGAGACACGGCCCAGACUCCUACGGGAGGCAGCAGCAGGGAAUCUUCCGCAAUGGACGAAAGUCUGACGGAGCAACGCCGCGUGAGUGACGAAGGUUUUCGGAUCGUAAAACUCUGUUGUGAGGGAAGAACAAGUACCACUUAACUACUGGUACCUUGACGGUACCUCACCAGAAAGCCACGGCUAACUACGUGCCAGCAGCCGCCGUAAUAC
rnacentral:rRNA from 1 species